GACCGACUUCGGCCUCUGCCUUGGCUGAGGGUGGAGCCAAGUCCUCAGCUUCCAGCACGCCUGCGCUACGGCAGGAACAUUUCGGCGACCUUUGAGGCUGAGCCGGCUUGCUUCCGCUUCCGGGUUGGGAUUAUGGCGGUGGCAAAUUCAAGCCCAGUCAAUCCUAUCGUCUUCUUUGAUGUUAGCAUCGGUGGCCAGGAGGUUGGCCGAAUGAAGAUUGAGCUCUUCGCGGACAUUGUGCCCAAGACUGCGGAGAAUUUCAGGCAAUUCUGCACAGGGGAAUUCAGGAAAGAUGGAGUCCCUAUUGGAUACAAGGGGAGCACCUUUCACAGGGUUAUAAAAGAUUUCAUGAUUCAAGGAGGAGACUUUGUAAAUGGAGAUGGCACUGGAGUUGCAAGCAUUUACCGGGGACCAUUUGCAGAUGAAAAUUUUAAAUUAAGGCACUCGGCUCCAGGUCUGCUUUCCAUGGCAAACAGUGGCCCCAGUACCAAUGGCUGCCAGUUCUUUAUUACCUGCUCCAAAUGUGAUUGGCUGGAUGGGAAACAUGUGGUUUUUGGAAAAAUAAUUGAUGGACUUCUAGUGAUGAGAAAAAUCGAGAAUGUUCCCACUGGACCUAACAAUAAGCCCAAACUGCCUGUAGUCAUUUCACAGUGUGGGGAGAUGUAAUGGAUUUCAGUGCUGAGUCAGGUCACUCUUGAAAACUACUUAUCUCCAGUUUGCUGUCUUAGGCCCUCUUUUCUUCUAUACCAGUGAUGGUGAAACUUUUAGAGGGGUAGGCUUCCUUUUGCUCUGGGUGAUGCUUCUGAGAAGAUGGUUUUGCCUCCUUGGUUAUUACCCUUUGGAUCAAGAGAUAGGCUGUGUCAUGGAUUCAGGACUCCAAACCUUUUAUUUUUAAGUUUUCAACUGUAAAUAAAGCUUGUGUUUUGGUUGUCUUUUUUAUUACUCUA